rnacentral:lncRNA from 1 species
AUGGUAGAGGUUGAUAAUUUAAAUGUAGAUUUUGGAGGUUAAUUUAGACUAUUUUCAUAAGGUAUGCUGGGUAUUUUUUUAGAAAAAACAUAAUAGAUCCAAUGACUAUGAAUACCGAUUAAUGGAUGUAUGUUUCCAAUAUCAAUCCCGGCAUCGUGGGUCUUCCUGUAUUGCAUCUAUGAGACCUACUAACAUGCUUCAUCCGUCC